rnacentral:rRNA from 1 species
GACGGAGGAUGCAAGCGUUAUCCGGAAUGAUUGGGCGUAAAGCGUCCGCAGGUGGCAGUUCAAGUCUGCUGUCAAAGACCGGGGCUUAACUUCGGAAAGGCAGUGGAAACUGAACAGCUAGAGUAUGGUAGGGGCAGAGGGAAUUCCUGGUGUAGCGGUGAAAUGCGUAGAGAUCAGGAAGAACAUCGGUGGCGAAGGCGCUCUACUGGACCAUAACUGACACUCAGGGACGAAAGCUAGGGGAGCGAAUGGG